rnacentral:lncRNA from 1 species
UAUUUCCAUUCUGCUUUAAAGAGGAGGUGGUGGAGGAUGAGGGGCGACCCCCUGAACUACUGGUUAACCUGCCUGGGGUGAUGGCCGGUGUGGGGGUGGUAAUGGGGGCGUUGGAGGCGGUAAUGGGGGCGUUGGAGGCCGUAGAGGAGGAGCUGGCCAAAGCCUCCCCCAAAUUCACUCAGAUGUCCUGCAGCUCCACCACAAGCUGGAGGAGGGGGAGGAGCUGGCUUUGGGGGUGUUGUGUUUGGUGUGGAGGACAUAGUAGAGUCAGAUAAGGACAGAGCUGGACCAGUUGUAUGCUGCAGUUUCCAGGCCAGCAUUCCAGAGGAGUUUGUAAGGUGCUGGGCCGUCGAGAUGGUCUCUGCCCUGGACUCACUGCAUCAGGAGGGCAUCGUCUGCAAGGACCUCAAACCCCAAAACAUCCUUAUCAACAGCAAAGGAAAUCAUGCACAGAACGAGCAGUAUGGCUGGUGGCAUUGUCAUGCUGGAGGGUCAUGUCAGGAUGAGUCUGCAGGAAGGGUACCACACGAGGGAGGACGAUGUCUUCCCUGUAACGCACAGCGUUUGCCUGCAAUGACAACAAGCUCAGUCCGAUGAUGUUGUGACACACCACCCCAGACCAUGAUGGACCCUCCACCCCAUAGGUGACGUUGUUGCCGGUGAUGUCUGGUGAGGACCUGCCUUACCCUGUGCUCACCAAGUGCUCAUUAUAGCCUAAAUUAUGACUAUCCAAUCUACUCAUCACAUUAGGAAUAGUAGGCUUACAUUAGUCUGCAAAUGUGACGAUAGAUGCAUGCAAUCCUUUGUUAUAAAUAUUAUUUUUUAUGGUGAAAAAAAAAAAGUGCUUCCCCAAAACAUGAAACUCAUGCGACACAUUCUAAUAGCUACACUACAAAUCAAAUCAAAUCAAAUCACAUACAUAUUUAGCAGGUGUUAUUGUGGGUGUAGCAAAAUGCUUGUGUUCCUAGCUCCAACAGUACCUAACAAUUCACAACAAUAUGCACAUCUAAAAGUAAAAUAAUGGAAUUAAGAAAUAUAUAAUAUUAGAAUGAGCACACACACAAGUUACUAUCUAGCUAGCUAAUUUUGGCUAACUCAGUGUUGUUGUUAACACCUGGUUAGCAUAACAGCUAAACUCAAAAUACAUUCUACAUCAUACAUCAUUUAAAUGACAAAUUCUUCAGUAGGCUAGUAUUUCAAUGGGUCCCAGUCAACAGCAGUGCCUGUUGGCAUAUGUUAGUAUAGUCAUCUGUGUUGGUCAUCUUGAUGUGACGACUCUGUACGUGUCAUUUCUGGUCACAAGUUGCAGACUUGUUUACGUUUUGCUGUGCGUUUUGUUGCCAACCUUACUUUGCUACCUGACAACUUUAUGGUUUUUACCUUUUAAUUACCGUUUGCAUUUUUUGUUUUUCCCUCACUCAACUUUUUCUCUCCAAACGCUUUAUCUAUACAUGGUUCGUCAGGACCUCCAACAGCCGAAGCUAAGUAGUAACAUUAACAUGAUGUCUUCUAAUUGCAGUCGCUGUACUCAUAAUAUACAGGAGAACAAUCGCUUUACGGCAAGGAUAGCUGUGCUGUAAGCCCAGCUUCAGACGUAAUCGGUAGGCAAGGGUAAUUUCAGUGUAGGAAAGGAUGAAACAGCAUCUGUGCCACCAGUAAGUACAGAUAAUAACAUUAGAAUAAAUCCCCUUGCACGGUCCCCGCAGCCGGAAAACUUUCUCAUGGCUUCUGGAGGGAAAUGCUGUAGGAAUGCUCAACCGGUGUCGCUCAUUCAGCCGACUGAAACUUUCAACGGUUCUCCCCAUUAACCUGUUAGGGCUAGGGGGCAGUAUUUACACGGCCAGAU